AAAGUACUCCCUCCGUCCUAAAAUUCUUGUCUUAGAUUUGUCUAGAUAUGGAUGUAUCAAGUCACAUUUUAGUAUUAGAUACAUUCGUAUCUAGACAAAUCUAAGACAAGAAAUUUGGGACAGAGGGAGUAGUUG
rnacentral:pre_miRNA from 1 species